UUUAAAGAGAGUUUGAUCCUGGCUCAGGACGAACGCUGGCGGCGUGCCUAAUACAUGCAAGUCGAACGAACGGAGGAAGAGCUUGCUCUUCCAAAGUUAGUGGCGGAUGGGUGAGUAACACGUGGGCAACCUGCCUGUAAGUUGGGGAUAACUCCGGGAAACCGGGGCUAAUACCGAAUGAUAAAGUGUGGCGCAUGCCA
rnacentral:rRNA from 1 species